rnacentral:lncRNA from 1 species
ACAGGACUCACUGUUUAGCCCUGGCUGGUCUUGAACUCUCAGAAACCUGCCUGCUUCUGGGGAUUAAGGUGUGCAUCACCAAGCCCAGCAAUUAUCUUGUUUGUGCAGUGCUGGUGGUUGCACGCAGGACCUUGUGCGUGUUAGACUCCCAUUCUACCAUGAAGCCGAAUCCCGGGAUGGUUUUGGAAAAGCCUUCCUGGGAAUUUGUAUCUAAGAAAAGGAUGCAAGCUGAGGUCUAAAGACCUUGAAGUUCUCACAUUUCUGCUGCAUCGGUUUCUCAGCUGUUCUGAACUCAACCAGCAGGGGGAGCCAGAACACCGCGUUCCUCUGGGUGUCGGGUACCUAAGGAGCCUCUCUGCUGCUGCCUGACAACAGAUGACCUCCAGGUGUCUUUUCUGCCUGCUCAAGCCCGUUCUUUUCUUCAGAGGAAGUAAUGCUGAAGUCAUGCCAUGUUCCAGGGACUGUCGCAGUGAAGGAGAUACAGUCAGGAAUAAAAUAGAUCACCCUCUGCUUGCGUGGAGCUGGAGGCACCAACUGUCCUGCUUUGUCUGGGACCCUUCUGAUUUGGGCAAUGAAGUUCCAGCAUCCUGGGAGACACCUCAGUCCUAGGAAACAGGCAGAGUUUGUCUCUAAGUUGGAGCAUAACCAUUUGCCUGGGAGAAAGAGGAGCACUUCCCAUUCAUUGCAGGUAAGAAUCCUUAACCCAUCUGGGGCUGAAGUGAUGAUUGGUGCUGGGAGAUGAAGGAUGCCGUGAGCAUUGACACUACCCCCACCACUGCCAUGAUUGCCUUUCUCUCAGUUU